UACGUAGGGUGCAAGCGUUAUCCGGAAUUAUUGGGCGUAAAGGGCUCGUAGGCGGUUUGUCGCGUCGGGAGUGAAAACCCAGGGCUUAACCCUGGGCUGGCUUCCGAUACGGGCAGACUAGAGGUAUGCAGGGGAGAACGGAAUUCCUGGUGUAGCGGUGAAAUGCGCAGAUAUCAGGAGGAACACCGGUGGCGAAGGCGGUUCUCUGGGCAUUACCUGACGCUGAGGAGCGAAAGUGUGGGGAGCGAACAGG
rnacentral:rRNA from 1 species